ACUCCUACGGGAGGCAGCAGUGGGAAUAUUGCACAAUGGGCGCAAGCCUGAUGCAGCCAUGCCGCGUGUGUGAAGAAGGCCUUCGGGUUGUAAAGCACUUUCAGUCGUGAAGGAAUGUAAGNGUAGGUUAAUAGCCUGCAUUAUUUGACGUUAGCGACAGAAGAAGCACCGGCUAACUCCGUGCCAGCAGCCGCGGUAAUACGGAGGGUGCGAGCGUUAAUCGGAAUUACUGGGCGUAAAGCGC
rnacentral:rRNA from 1 species